UAGGGAAUCUUCCGCAAUGGACGAAAGUCUGACGGAGCAACGCCGCGUGAGUGAAGAAGGAUUUCGGUUCGUAAAACUCUGUUGUUAGGGAAGAAAAAAUGUAUAGUAACUAUAUACAAAAGAGACGGUACCUAACCAGAAAGCCACGGCUAACUACGUGCCAGCAGCCGCGGUAAUACGGAAGGUUCGGGCGUUAUCCGGAUUUAUUGGGUUUAAAAGGAGCGUAGGCCGUUUGGUAAGCGUGAUGUGAAAUGUAGGAGCUCAACUUCUAGAUUGCAGCGCGAACUGUCAGACUUGAGUGCGCACAACGUAGGCGGGAUUCAUGGUGUAGCGGGGAAAUGCUUAGAUAUCAUGAAGAACUCCGAUUGCGAAGGCAGCUUACGGGAGCGCAACUGACACUGAAGCUCGAAGGUGCGGGUAUCGAACAGG
rnacentral:rRNA from 1 species